UUUUUUUUUUUUUUUUUAAGACUAUUUCUUUAUUUAAGUUCGGGGGCGUGCAGAGUGAGCGAGAGUCCGAGCAGUGGGGAGAGGGAGAAGCAGGCUCCCACCAAGCAGGAAGCUUGUUGGGGCUCGAUCGCAGGACCAUGACUUAAGCUGAAAGCAGACGCUUAUCAGACUGAGCCACCCAGGUACCCCAGGAGCCUAGAGAUUUCUUAGAACUCAGCUGAACUUGAAGAAACCCGGAGGCCUUAACACCCAACUCCCAACUAUGACAAUGAGGCAGGUUUGACUCUGGAGGGAAGACCUGGGAAAGCAGGACAUGGUGGUGGCGGUGGUGGUGGCGGUGGUGGGGUCAGUACCAAGCCUUGUGUUACAGCUGAUUUCCAGCAGCUGGCCACGGAGCAGAACUCCAGAAUGUGUUCGUUCUUACAGCCAGGAAGAAGCAGGCCCCAUACAUCCCAGGGUGGCCAACUCCUUUCUCUUGCUACCUGGCCCUAAUGAGCUCCUCUAAGGGGCACAGAGAGGGACACAAGGUGCGGAAGACAGAAACAUCUCACGGCAAUAUCCAUUCUAUCCAUCCUGUCCUUAAACCUUAGUGGUGACCUUCCGUUUCUGAUGAUGUAAUGAUACUAACGCAGCUCACGUUUACUGGGAGCCAGUGCUACACCACGAGCAUUUGCCGAUCCUCCCAGUAACUCGGGGGGGGAGAGAGGGGGCGGGAUUUUACAAUGGUUCAGAAAUCUUAGGCACCUGCCUGAUGUCACACAGCCAGGGAGUGAAAGAGCAAGUGCUCAAACUCAGUCCCCCCUGCUCACGCCAACCCUUAGCUCCUUACAAUCCCCACAAGCUGGUCUGGGAGGACUUAAUAUGAUACUGUGGGAGAAACUGAGGCCCUAACCAAUGAUUUCUCUCUCUUUUGCUCUUGGGAGCAGGGUCAGUUCUUCAUCUAGAGUCUGACAUUUUCUCAGACUCUUUCUCUCCAGGCUGCUGGCAAGUUCUUAGAGAGGGGUUACAACUCCAGGGCAGAGAGGGCGGCUGGCCCUCAAGUACUCCUGUUUCCCUUCCAGAGUGAAAAGUUGGGACUGGGAAGGGAACAGCCAGCCAGGAACUACAUUUCCCAGCCUUCUUUGCACCUAUGUGUCCAUAUGACUCAUUCUCACCAAUAGGAGUGGCAGUGGUGUGAUGAGGAAGCAGAGGAGCUGUCUCAAGCUUUUCUUCCUCCUUCCAUGGUGAUCUUGGAAGCCACAUGUUGAAGAUGGAAAGGAGUAGGGGCCCCAAAUACUGUGUGGAAAGCCACCCUCCACUUCCCUGAGGAGUUGCUGCAUGGCAAAUAAACUUGCAUUAUGUUAAGCUGCUGAGAUUCAUGGUUUAUCUCUUGUGGCACCCAGCAAUGUCCUCACCAAUAUGCUAGUCUC
rnacentral:lncRNA from 1 species